rnacentral:rRNA from 1 species
GUAGGUGGCAAGCGUUGUCCGGAAUUAUUGGGCGUAAAGCGCGCGCAGGCGGUUCUUUAAGUCUGAUGUGAAAGCCCACGGCUCAACCGUGGAGGGUCAUUGGAAACUGGAGAACUUGAGUACAGAAGAGGAAAGCGGAAUUCCACGUGUAGCGGUGAAAUGCGUAGAGAUGUGGAGGAACACCAGUGGCGAAGGCGGCUUUCUGGUCUGUAACUGACGCUGAGGCGCGAAAGCGUGGGGAGCAAACAGGGAUUAGAUACCCUGGUAGUCCACGCCGUAAACGAUGAGUGCUAAGUGUUAGGGGGGUUUCCGCCCCCGUUAGUGCUGCAGCUAACGCAUUAAGCACUCCGCCUGGGGAGUACAGCCGCAAGGCUG